UACUCAGAAUAGGUGUAUUCCCUAAGAAU
rnacentral:piRNA from 1 species